AGAGUUUGAUCAUGGCUCAGGACGAACGCUGGCGGCGUGCCUAACACAUGCAAGUCGAACGGGACCGGGGGCAACUUCGGUUCAGUGGCGGACGGGUGCGUAACACGUGAGGAACAUGACCUUCGGCGGGGGAUAGCCGGCCCAACGGCCGGGUAAUACCGCGUACGACCAUUCGGGGACAUCCCUGGGUGGUGAAAGCAGCAAUGCCCGAUGGAGUGCCUCGCGGCCUAUCAGCUAGUUGGUGAGGUAACGGCUCACCNNGGCAACGACGGGUAGCUGGUCUGAGAGGAUGGCAGCCACAUUGGGACUGAGACACGGCCCAGACUCCUACGGGAGGCAGCAGUGGGGAAUAUUGCGCAAUGGACGAAAGUCUGAGCAGGACGCCGCGUGUGGGAUGAUGGUCUUCGGAUUGUAACCCGUCGGGAGGGAGAAUCCCGCAAGGCGGGUGACGGUACCUCCAAAGGAAGCACCGGCUAACUCCGUGCCAGCAGCCGCGGUAAUACGGAGGGUGCGAGCGUUGUCCGGAAUCACUGGGCGUAAAGGGCGCGUAGGCGGCCUGAUAAGUAGGGGGUGAAAUCCUGCGGCUUAACCGCAGGGCUGCCUUUAAACUGUCAGGCUCGAGCACAGUAGAGGCAGGUGGAAUUCCCGGUGUAGCGGUGGAAUGCGUAGAGAUCGGGAAGAACAUCAGUGGCGAAGGCGGCCUGCUGGGCUGUUGCUGACGCUGAGGCGCGACAGCGUGGGGAGCAAACAGGAUUAGAUACCCUAGUAGUCC
rnacentral:rRNA from 1 species